CCGGUCUGGUCACACUCAUUCAGCAACAGCAGCACCACCACCACCACCAGCAGCAGCGGACAGCCCUGAGGAGCAUGGGGCCUGCUGGGACUCGUCUCCUGCUAUGCUUCAGCUCCUGCCCAAUCACUUACCUGUGCCAGGAGAAGCCUCUGGACAUGCCUGGGCAGCCUCUGGACAUGCACUGCUCCCAUUCCUCGCUGAGAGGGCAUCUCCCCGAGUGCCUCUCCAUCCCAGUAGACUCUCCAGAUGUGCCCAGUCCUCAACUGGUGUGGCCUCACCAGAGAGACUCAGACCAAACAGGCCUCCACAGCCUCUCUCUAGACACUUUCUGGGAAACCACAGUGGAAUACAAAAGGUCCUCAUUUGCCCUGAACCCUGGGAAGCCCUGUGGCAUUGGUUCAUGAGUGCUGUGGUUGGUUAUUUGGAACUUAAUUCUCUUGGUAUUUGCCACUUCCCAGUUGUCCCCUUUACUGUUCACAGUCCCCACCUAUAAUCCUCGGCUUCCUGGCACUUCCGGAGCCCAUAUUAACGUACCAAUUUUUUGUACCCCAUUUAGGGCACCAACUGUUCUGAUCUCUUGAAGAGCUCCUCAGGCAACCUUCUGUUUCUAGCAAGAUGAUACACCCAAGCCUUGAUGACAAGGCUUGGCUCUCAACCUCCUUGCUCCCCACCUCCUGUGAAAUACACAAAGAAAUUCAGUGAUCAUCGGGGAUGCUCUGGUCCAAACACUACCUGCCAGCCAGACGCAGGAGAUGGAUGGCUCAGCAGUAAUCGUGCUGCUUGAGCUUGGUGUCUAAUGGGGACAGUAGUGACAGGAAGUUCACAGGGACUGGAAGACAUGAGUUCUCUGAGGGAAAGGAAGGUGAAGCCUGGUGCUUAGGACCCUCAGGAGACCAUAGGAUGUGAGAAGGCUCAAGACACCCAGAGGUGGGGUCAGAAACAGGGCAAAGGAGACCAAGCAUGGGAGAGCUGCAGUGGACGUGUACAGACAGGAGAAGCAGGCCCUAAAGAAUCCCUGAGGCGGCAGAGAGGCUGGGCUGUGGAACUUUUUAAUUACUUUGCAUUAGGGGACUGUAGAGACCCAGAAGCCCACCCUUCCCCUCCCCUCAUCAGCUUAGCCCCAACAUAUGGUGGCUACCAAAGUAGUUAAAUCGGCUCUUGGUAGAAAAGGAAAGAGAUUCCUCCCAGGCUCUUCCCAGGGUCCACGGCCACACUCCAGGAGGGCUCAACUCCAGGGCAAGGCAGCUGGGACAGCAGGCAGCUGAAGGAGGACUAUUACUGCACCUUAGGGAAGAGUGCAGUGGCGAGUGGGGAGGACUCUGCUGGGACCCGGGGGUCAUGUGCAUUCCCAUUUAGUUGAGCUCUGCUUAAUCCGGGCCUAGGCUCACAGUAAUGGGGAACGAGGAGAGGCUCCCAUCAGAGACCAAGAAGAUGACAGACUCUCUGUAAAGGCUGUCAGAGGGGUCUGCAUGACCAACCACACCUGCUCCUGUUCCUUUGGGGCUCUUGUGACCUCCCUGUCUUCUUGUGAGAUCUUAUGUUCCUCCAACCCUGAGAGCUACAAACCAAUCUCCGGAAUAAAAAAAUCUGUCCCUCGUGCUGUCA
rnacentral:lncRNA from 7 species